UACAGAGGUCCCAAGCGUUGUUCGGAUUCACUGGGCGUAAAGGGUGCGUAGGUGGUGGGGUAAGUUUGAUGUGAAAUCUCCGGGCUUAACCCGGAAAUGGCAUUGAAUACUAUUCCGCUAGAGGUUUGGAGGGGGGACUGGAAUUCUCGGUGUAGCAGUGAAAUGCGUAGAGAUCAGGAAGAACACCGGUGGCGAAGGCGCUCUGCUAGGCCGUAACUGACACUGAGGGACGAAAGCUAGGGGAGCGAAUGGG
rnacentral:rRNA from 1 species